CCUACGGGUGGCAGCAGUGAGGAAUAUUGGUCAAUGGACGAGAGUCUGAACCAGCCAAGUAGCGUGAAGGAUGACUGCCCUAUGGGUUGUAAACUUCUUUUAUAUGGGAAUAAAAUGUUCCACGUGUGGGAUUUUGUAUGUACCAUAUGAAUAAGGAUCGGCUAACUCCGUGCCAGCAGCCGCGGUAAUACGGAGGAUCCGAUCGUUAUCCGGAUUUAUUGGGUGUAAAGGGAGCGUAGGUGGAUUGUUAAGUCAGUUGUGAAAGUUUGCGGCUCAACCGUAAAAUUGCAGUUGAAACUGGCAGUCUUGAGUACAGUAGAGGUGGGCGGAAUUCGUGGUGUAGCGGUGAAAUGCUUAGAUAUCACGAAGAAUUCCGAUUGCGAAGGCAGUUCACUGGACUGCAACUGACACUGAGGCUCGAAAGUGUGGGUAUCAAACAGGAUUAGAUACCCCUGUAGUC
rnacentral:rRNA from 1 species